rnacentral:lncRNA from 1 species
GUCAAAUUAUAGUAGUUAAGCUCACUGCUCCUACCACACUACUAAUGUCACUGAUAUUUCCUCCUGAGUGUUCAAUAACUAAAGUUUGGAGACCAAAAAUGGAAAGUAUAACUUUUACCCUCCCAUCCCUAGUCCUCUAAAGACUCAACUCCUUCCAUGGGCUUUGGAUGAGGUCAUGGAACCAGCACACAAGUGUAAACCAGAAGAGUGGUGUUCCAUCCUUCUGGACUUCACAAGAUUUAUUCCUGGCUACCUGAUGUGAAUGGUACUGUUCAUUGAAUGCAGUCUCACAUGCAACUUGAGAAGUACACAGGUAAAUGGUUUCAGCCCAAGCAUAAAAAUGCAUAUUCUCUGGAGAAAACACAGAUGAACAGCCCAAAGGAGGACUGCUUGGCUACAUGGAUUUCAACAUAUUUUCUAGCAAAAUCAUACAUACCCAAAAGGAGAUUCUGGCAAUUUUGGAUGGCAUGUCGAUAGGAGGAAUUCCCAGGAGGACUCUGGAAUGCUCAUGAAUUAUUGGGUUAUAGCAGUAAACAUAGUAGGCAUACUUUUUCAAUAGUCAUAACAAAGUAUGAUCUUUGUAACAUAUUUUGUGUAAUAAGUAAUACAAGUGUAAUAUAAAACAGGUGACUAAUAUUGCUUCACUAUUUCAGUAUACCAUAUGUGAUAAGUAGAGCCAAAUUGUAAUUAUUUCCAUGAAAGUAGAGAUAAUUUCCAGUACUUUAAAACUAUAUGACCUGUAUUGUGAACUUUGAGGCUUUACAUGUGAUGUGUAUUGUGACCAUAUUUCUAGUUUACAAUAUAAAUUCAAUUAUGAAAAAAUAAAUUAGUAUUCAAACAUUCUGGAAAAGAGUCACUAUCUUUUUUGUAGGAAGAAACUAGUCAUCCAAGAAAGUAUUUCCAAGAAAUGUAUUCUGCCAAGUUAGCUAAACAUUUGUAUUUUUUGACUCAGGUUUGAGACUCUGAGGCUCAUGAACCCACAUCCUCAGUGCUCCUUAAAAUGCUAUUCAUAAUCAUGUUUUAUGCCCCUUUCUGAAACUUCCCAUUGGAAAAUGCAGCUUGUGAAGAUCAGAUGAGAACACAUACCUGACUAACCAGAUAAUCUAAAGUAUUUGUUCUGAUAUUGGAUUGGCAAUGUCAAUUUUUUUUUUACUACAGGGAAAAUUUAAAUAAUUAAAUGGAGUAGCUGAGACAUAAUUAAGUCAUAAAUACAUGAUAGAAUAUUAAUAGUCCCUGGAUCUGAUUUGUUAUGGGAAUUU